GAUGAACGCUGGCGGCGUGCCUAAUACAUGCGAGUCGAGCGAACAGAUGAGGAGCUUGCUCCUCAGACGUUAGCGGCGGACGGGUGAGUAACACGUGGAUAACCUACCUAUAAGACUGGGAUAACUUCGGGAAACCGGAGCUAAUACCGGAUAAUAUAUUGAACCGCAUGGUUCAAUAGUGAAAGACGGUUUUGCUGUCACUUAUAGAUGGAUCCGCGCCGCAUUAGCUAGUUGGUAAGGUAACGGCUUACCAAGGCAACGAUGCGUAGCCGACCUGAGAGGGUGAUCGGCCACACUGGAACUGAGACACGGUCCAGACUCCUACGGGAGGCAGCAGUAGGGAAUCUUCCGCAAUGGGCGAAAGCCUGACGGAGCAACGCCGCGUGAGUGAUGAAGGUCUUCGGAUCGUAAAACUCUGUUAUUAGGGAAGAACAAAUGUGUAAGUAACUAUGCACGUCUUGACGGUACCUAAUCAGAAAGCCACGGCUAACUACGUG
rnacentral:rRNA from 1 species